rnacentral:rRNA from 1 species
CCUACGGGAGGCAGCAGUGGGGAAUAUUGGACAAUGGGCGAAAGCCUGAUCCAGCAAUGCCGCGUGAGUGAUGAAGGCCUUAGGGUUGUAAAGCUCUUUUACCAGGGAUGAUAAUGACAGUACCUGGAGAAUAAGCUCCGGCUAACUCCGUGCCAGCAGCCGCGGUAAUACGGAGGGAGCUAGCGUUGUUCGGAAUUACUGGGCGUAAAGCGUACGUAGGCGGUUAUUCAAGUCAGAGGUGAAAGCCCGGGGCUCAACCCCGGAACUGCCUUUGAAACUAGAUAGCUAGAAUCUUGGAGAGGUUAGUGGAAUUCCGAGUGUAGAGGUGAAAUUCGUAGAUAUUCGGAAGAACACCAGUGGCGAAGGCGACUAACUGGACAAGUAUUGACGCUGAGGUACGAAAGCGUGGGGAGCAAACAGGAUUAGAUACCCUGGUAGUCCACGCCGUAAACGAUGAUAACUAGCUGUUCGGGCACUUGGUGCCUGAGUGGCGCAGCUAACGCAUUAAGUUAUCCGCCUGGGGAGUACGGUCGCAAGNUUAAAACUCAAAGGAAUUGACGG